rnacentral:rRNA from 1 species
UACGUAGGGCGCAAGCGUUAUCCGGAAUUAUUGGGCGUAAAGAGCUCGUAGGCGGUUUGUCGCGUCUGCCGUGAAAGUCCGGGCUCAACUGCGGGCCUGCAGCCGAUACGGGCAGGCUAGAGUUCGGUAGGGGAGACUGGAAUUCCUGGUGUAGCGGUGAAAUGUGCAGAUAUCAGGAGGAACACCGGUGGCGAAGGCGGGUCUCUGGGCCGAUACUGACGCUGAGGAGCGAAAGCGUGGGGAGCGAACAGG